GUGGGCGUGGCCUAAUGGUAAGGCGUUGGCUUUCGGUUUCAAAGAUUGAGGGUUCGAGUCCCUUCGUCCACU
rnacentral:tRNA from 1 species